rnacentral:rRNA from 1 species
AAAUUGAAGAGUUUGAUCAUGGCUCAGAUUGAACGCUGGCGGCAGGCCUAACACAUGCAAGUCGAACGGUAACAGGAAACAGCUUGCUGUUUCGCUGACGAGUGGCGGACGGGUGAGUAAUGUCUGGGAAACUGCCUGAUGGAGGGGGAUAACUACUGGAAACGGUAGCUAAUACCGCAUAAUGUCGCAAGACCAAAGAGGGGGACCUUCGGGCCUCUUGCCAUCGGAUGUGCCCAGAUGGGAUUAGCUAGUAGGUGGGGUAACGGCUCACCUAGGCGACGAUCCCUAGCUGGUCUGAGAGGAUGACCAGCCACACUGGAACUGAGACACGGUCCAGACUCCUACGGGAGGCAGCAGUGGGGAAUAUUGCACAAUGGGCGCAAGCCUGAUGCAGCCAUGCCGCGUGUAUGAAGAAGGCCUUCGGGUUGUAAAGUACUUUCAGCGGGGAGGAAGGGAGUAAAGUUAAUACCUUUGCUCAUUGACGUUACCCGCAGAAGAAGCACCGGCUAACUCCGUGCCAGCAGCCGCGGUAAUACGGAGGGUGCAAGCGUUAAUCGGAAUUACUGGGCGUAAAGCGCACGCAGGCGGUUUGUUAAGUCAGAUGUGAAAUCCCCGGGCUCAACCUGGGAACUGCAUCUGAUACUGGCAAGCUUGAGUCUCGUAGAGGGGGGUAGAAUUCCAGGUGUAGCGGUGAAAUGCGUAGAGAUCUGGAGGAAUACCGGUGGCGAAGGCGGCCCCCUGGACGAAGACUGACGCUCAGGUGCGAAAGCGUGGGGAGCAAACAGGAUUAGAUACCCUGGUAGUCCACGCCGUAAACGAUGUCGACUUGGAGGUUGUGCCCUUGAGGCGUGGCUUCCGGAGCUAACGCGUUAAGUCGACCGCCUGGGGAGUACGGCCGCAAGGUUAAAACUCAAAUGAAUUGACGGGGGCCCGCACAAGCGGUGGAGCAUGUGGUUUAAUUCGAUGCAACGCGAAGAACCUUACCUGGUCUUGACAUCCACAGAACCUUGUAGAGAUACGAGGGUGCCUUCGGGAACUGUGAGACAGGUGCUGCAUGGCUGUCGUCAGCUCGUGUUGUGAAAUGUUGGGUUAAGUCCCGCAACGAGCGCAACCCUUAUCCUUUGUUGCCAGCGGUCCGGCCGGGAACUCAAAGGAGACUGCCAGUGAUAAACUGGAGGAAGGUGGGGAUGACGUCAAGUCAUCAUGGCCCUUACGACCAGGGCUACACACGUGCUACAAUGGCGCAUACAAAGAGAAGCGACCUCGCGAGAGCAAGCGGACCUCAUAAAGUGCGUCGUAGUCCGGAUUGGAGUCUGCAACUCGACUCCAUGAAGUCGGAAUCGCUAGUAAUCGUGGAUCAGAAUGCCACGGUGAAUACGUUCCCGGGCCUUGUACACACCGCCCGUCACACCAUGGGAGUGGGUUGCAAAAGAAGUAGGUAGCUUAACCUUCGGGAGGGCGCUUACCACUUUGUGAUUCAUGACUGGGGUGAAGUCGUAACAAGGUAACCGUAGGGGAACCUGCGGUUGGAUCACCUCCUUACCUUAAAGAAGC